CUUCGACGUUGCUUCUCUCCCGUCUUCCACCCGGGGGGUAGGGGGGCGGGCAGGCAGAGAGUGAGGAGAGGAGAACAAAGACUCCCGGGCCCGCCCACAGGUGAUGUAGGCCCGAAGGCGACAAGGUGACACACACUCACCUUAUCCCAGAAAGAUGAUGGAUUCCAAGGCAAUCCGACACAAACCAGAGUCCGCUCUGACCUCUCAAUCCCUGUCUUGCAACAGCAGGCACGACACCUUCUCUAACCCGGGGCCUGGUGUGUAUACACUCCCAGCUCCGGUUGCCUAGGAAACCUGCCCUCCGCCUCGCGCGACCUUGGAGUGGGGAGGGGGACCACAGAGGCGGGGAAAGCGGCGGCCGAGGCCGUUUCUGGGUCACGUGGCGGCACCCUCCAGCCAAUCAGCAGAGGAAGGGGUCCACCCGGAAGCCCCCGCUGGUGCUGCUGGGAAACGGUGGGGAGCGGCGGGUCCGCGCGUGUGUCUGAGCCGGAGCGCAUCUUUCCGUCUGUCUGCGCUGGGUCAGGGCAGCGGUCCGGAAGCACCGAGUUGUGGGCAUAGUGGCAGGGACCUAGUCGCGAGGCCGCCUCCAGCCCCGGCUCUCUUUCAUCGAAAGCCUGUGGCCCUCGGGGCCUGGAAGCCCGGAGCCCGGCUGGACUGGAACCUCAGAGCCCCGGCGCUGUGACGUCAUAAGGCGAGCAGCCAGGCCCGACCGGGAAAGCAGCCGACGGGCCGGGGGGAAGCACGGCGCGGCCGAGACCUGCCUGCCCCAUGUGGGAGCCACUAACCCCAGGCACGCGUGGCUCUUGUGCUCUUCACCUUCCCGACCUAGUCCAAAUUGAGACGUACCCUAAACUACGCGCUGUAUCUUGAAGGUUUGAUGUGAGGGGGGAGGAAAAAUCGUGUUUGUUGAAGUCAUAAUAUUUUUUAAUAUAUCGGGUUAAAUAAAAAUGCGGUAUUAAAAUUUUACUUUUUAAAAGCAACGAUUAGAGAUUUUUGAAUUACAUCUGUGACUUCUAUUAUGUUGUUGGACAGCGUUCCUGGUUUUGUUUUGUUUUGUUUGUUUUGUGGUUCAGUUCUUUUGCGUAGAAUAUUUAUGACGUCCAAUUCAAGCGAAAUAGUGCCUGUACUACCCUUUUUCCGUCACCAGAUGUCCGCCUCACUCAAUAGACUAUAGUUUUAAACUGUUUUCCUCAAGAAAAAUAGAAGUGCAGAUUUAAAAUAUAUUUCCAGGGGGCUUGUGUGGCUCAGGGGGUAGAGCAUCCCACUCUUGAUCUCGGGGUAUAAGUUUGGUGGGGAGCCUGUUUAAAAAAAAUUUCUAUUUAUCUAGUAACAGCAUAUUUGUUAUGAUUCCAUAAUUUUUUCUAUCAUGUUGACUGUAAACGCAUAAACGUAUAAAAAAGUAAAUUAAUUUUCCCUCUACAUUUUUUAUUUUACAGGAAUUUAUUGUCCAUCUGUCAUCGAUUAGUUAAUAAAUUAAUUAAAAUAUUUGUGACUUAGGGGUUUAAAACAAA